AAAAGAUUUAAAAGUUUUUACACUUCAAGGUUGUGAUAGAAAUUAGUCAGGAGAACCAACAAUGUUUUCAUUUAUUGAAAGUUUCCGAAAUAUAUGCCGACUGGGGAUAAUGUAAGAGGAAAGUUUCGGAGAAGGUAGAGCAUGCGAUCAAUCCAACCCAUCGGCCGCUCCAGCCGUUGCUGUGAGGGCAAAUGCAGAGGACCGGACUAAAAGUCUCCACUGAGAUGCCACUUUCUUGGGAAGUCUUCCUCACCCCCAAGCCCAGAUUCUGCGACUUUCCUGUUUUCCUAUAGCAAAGCACAUCUCUUGGGCUUCUUCAUGAUGUAUUGAAAUGUCCUCUCUACUUGUCUGGGUCCACACUAGCCCGUACAUAAUGACGGCAUGUGCCCUGACUGGGAACCGAACCGUGAUCCUCGAGUUCGUAGGCCUGCACUCAAUCCACCAAGCCACACCAGCCAGGACUGUGCUGUCUUUUUCAUGGGAGAGACAGAAAACGAGGGCCUGGUCCACUUUGGGUAAUUGAAGGGUGAGUGACGCAUCUUGAAAGUGAAGAGGUGUGAAUUCCAGUGCCCUGGCCCGAUUCCAAACCGCAUAAUUAUACCUUCCCCCUUCUGCCUAAAAAUGUUCCUCCGAGUUGCAGCUGAAAAAUAAAUUAUUCACUUCCUCUACUGAAUGUUACCACCGUGGCUUACUUGUAAGACAUCAUCACGCUUCUUUAGCAGGCCCUUCCUCUGUUUCAUGGAAGAAUCAAGUUUCCCUUACAAGGUGGCCCAGAAUAAAAUAUGCUGUUUUACAUACCUUCCCAUACUUUCUUGGAUGAUAUGAUAAGGAUGGUUAACUUUGUCCUGGGAAGGAGAUAGAUAGAUAGAUAGAUAGAUAGAUAGAUAGAUAGAUAUUAGUCAAGUAAUUGAAAGGUCAAGUAAUAGAAAAUUAUAAAUGUUAGAUUUAUUUGAACUAUUGUACGAAUGCUUCAUUUACUCCACAGCUCACCUCUCACACAACUGGUGGUUAUGACAUCUCAGGAUGGUUGUCAACAUGAUCAAACAAAAGGGAUUGUUUUAGCUGUAACUGAUCAAAAUAGAGAUCAAGGUGACUUGCAAAUGUCUUUCUAAACUGGAUUCUGCUUUGGCUUUAAUGUGUAAUUUGAAGCCCAAAUAUAAUAAAUUAUAAUAAAGUAUAACCUGAAAUUUGUGUCAAUUAAUUAUAUUGGAAGUGUUGUAACACAGAGUAAUCAAAGUAAAUGUCUCUUUAUCAAAACCGAUGGCAACCUUUUUAACACUCUGUAAACAUGAAUAGAAAUCCUAGCUGAAUAUUCACAGAAAUGAAGUACAGAAACAAACAAAAAAGAAAUCCGUUUUUCUUGAGAAAUCGGUUUUGAUCACUCUUCCACUUGAGAUGAACCACUACUCAAAUUUAUUAAAGUUGCAUGCUUUAGUAAACUAGUGAACUACUAACAUUUACUGAAUAAUGUCUUCAGCACUGUGCCAGGUCCUUUGUGUGUAUUGUCCUCCGGAGCGGACCGUGGGCUUCCCCGAGUGUCAGAGGAGGGAAGGGGGUCUAAGCCAACCACCCCAUUUCACUGCUGGGGAAAAGGAAUCAAGCAAUUCCAAAAUCAUCUUUUAUGCUAAAAUAAACACAUUGUGUCAUGAAAGGACUUCAAAGUUUAGAUUAAUUUUUGGAUCAAACAAUUGAAAGGAAGGCUGCACCUGUAAUCAAGAGACUGCUUGGUAGAUGAAGAGAGAAACAAAUGAUCAGAAAAACUAUAAGUUAAAUGACUGUUCUGUGAACAAUAAUGGCUUUAAUACUGUGACAUCAUGUUUCAUCGUGGUUCAAGAAAUCUCUAUGUUUUCAAUUUUUUAAUCUAAAAUUUUAAAGUGUUUUAAUCCACUUCUAGCAGAGUUUAUCCUCUCAACCAGAGCAAGACUCUGACUCAGUAACAAUAGCUUACUCUGUAUGAAGCACAGAAAAUGCUAUGCCAGGAAUUAAACUCCUUCUCUAGCUACUAUCAUGCAUGUGCUUAUACAGUAAAACCACACAAUUCUAUCUCUGUGGUUGGGGUACAGAAUGUAUGCUGUGCCAUUUGAUCUGGCUUGUAGGUAUGCAUGUCCAUACACUCAAAUGCUUCUCUUUUUUUUUUUUUUUUCUGAGAAGGAGGGAAAAAACCCAGUAUUGAGCAGUUUGUAAACUGAAAUUUUGAUUUUUUUAAAAAUGAGCCAUUUUAGGAUUUUAUCAUUUUGUUUCAUUUCUUGCAGUUCAAAAUUGUUUCUAUAUGAUGUACCUUGCUAAUUAUUGUUUUCUUCCUAAGGUAAAUUACAGCUUUGCGAAAUGGUCCACGCUCUUCACAAAAUACUGUGAAACUAUGAAUUACAGGAGCCUUCCAUGGAGAUAAUGAAGAUCAAAUAACACUGCCUUUCUAGGCUGCCUUUCUUUCCAAGCUCUUAUUUCAUCAACACCAUGAUGGCUACCCCAGCAUUUUUGUAAUUCCCACGAAAAAUAACAUAUCUAACAGUUAUCCAACUUGUUAGAUAACUAUAGUUAUAGUUAGAUAACUAUUAGAAUUUUAAAUUUAUACUUCUUAGUGGAAGGAUGUUUAUUGUAUAAGUGCUAUUCUUUGCCCAACAGAGUCCUUGUUCUUGGGUGUGAGGAUGACGGUUGUACUAAUACAGACUCUGGCAGAAGGAAUGCCCGCCCGACUGUGCUUGGCAGGAUCGUAAUAUAGGUAUAAUAGUUUAUAGUUUUAAUUUGAACAUUUCACAUAAAAUAUCAUAUGCUGUGCUUGAGUGUGAUAUUGCUCUGUUACAGAAUUCCAUGCUUAUGAUUUUGUAGUGAAGAAAGAGGCAUUAUUUGUGCCGGACCCUGUAUGUUGCAGCAUUACUGAGACGGGACUAAACCCUAAACAGGACUAAACACUGAAACUUUGAAAGAGAAUGAACUGUUUCACUUCUGUAGCAUAUUCUUCUUUCUCUACUGCAUCCCAGUAGCAUGAGCCAUGUUAGAAAUGGUCUGUGAUUAACUGUACCCCUAACUCAUUUCCAGGGCCAAACCUUAGGCAAUCCUGGGGAGCCCUGGAGGGCUCAGCAAUCUUCCAUGAUGUCCCAUCAGGUUGGGUCACCAGAUUCAGUCCUAAGCACUUGCCAUUUCUCAAGCAUAAUACUAACCAGCCACGCUUAUCAUUAUUUACACCAUAUAUGUCUUUCCCUUUGGAUUGUAAGCCCUGUGAAAGCAAGGCCUGCAACUUACUCAAGUCUAUCUCCCUAGGACCUAGCAAGAGCUCCUGGCAUAUACUCAUUGUUUAAUUAAUAUGGGUUGAGUGGCUACUUAAUCCAAAACAAGGCUUACCUUCAUAAAUUAGACCAUCAUAUUUAUUUCUCUCAUUCUAGCUUACAACGAGCCUACUUGGCUAUGAACAGCUGAGAGGGGGAGUGGGGAGGGGAGAUACGUGGAGCAAACGGAAGUCUCUACAGGGGCCAGCCCAGGCUGGUCAUGGCAGUUUCCCAUGAGCCUCGCUGCUCAGCCCAGCUCUCUCACUGUAGCCACGUGGCAACGCCAGACCUGACUUUUUCUUUUGAUAAGACGUAUAUGUUAUAUGAAAUGAUCAUAUUAGCAACAUUUUCUGAUUUUUUAAAAUACACUUUAGGCCAUAAAUAUGUCUGCAGCCAUCUUUAGCAGGCACGUAGUAAAUCUGCAAUCUCUGAUCUCUCUUCUGUUCUUCCCUAGUAUAUACAUUUGCAAAGAAAUGUCUCUUGGUAGUUACUGCUUCUGUUUGCUAAGAUACCUAGUAUUAUUACUAAAAUCAAAGUUAUAAUUAAACUUUUCUACAUUUCUUUCCAGGUUCUUCAGGUUCUUUGGUUCAAUAUUAACUCUGCCUCUCCUCCACAAGUGGGGUUCUCCUGAUGAUAAAAUGUUGCUACAGCUCAGCCCCGAACAGAGCCAUGUUUUGAAUGUCUUCACCACUCACAUAAUCAACUGGAAACAACUAUUUCCUGUCCCUUUGACCCAUACUGAAGGUGGCCGAAGGUGUGCACAGUCCUGGCUCAGCUUUAAGGUCUUUUUCUUCAAGGUUAAUAUAUACGCAUCAUCCCACAAGUCAUAUCAACAAGAUUAUGUGAAAUUUAUUUAGUUUUAAAGAUUUUAUUUAUGUUUAGAGACAGGGGAAGGGAGGGGAAAAUGAGGAAGAGAAAUAUUGAUGUGCAAGAGAUACAUCGAUCUGUUGCCUCCUUCAUGAUGCCAAUGGGGAACUUGACCCUCAACCCAGGCAUGUGUCCUGACUGGGAAUUGAACCAGCAACCUUUCGGUUUGCAGGCUGGCACUCAAUCCACUGAGCCACAGCUGCCAGGGCAGAUUAUGUUUAAUUUAGAUCAAAGCCACAUCAGACUUCUAUUUUUGCACACAUUACUCAAUUUUGAGACUAUUCAUAUGGACUUUCGAUAAUUUCUAUUCUACCUUCUAAACCUUCUUUUUUUCCUAUGAGAAAAAGUUGGUGAUUACCUCUAAU